CCAGCUACCAUGUCUUGGAUGGCACUAUGCAUCCUGUGAGUCUGCCCGUGCUGUCAUGGACUCAUGGUGAACACCAUUCCACAAGAAAAAGAGUUCCUUCCCUUUCUAUAAUUGCGUUGCCACUAUCCAUUGAUAUUUGACCCCAGCCGUCAUCAACAGCUUUAAACUCCUUUCACCUUGUCCGUGCAGCUGUGCUUCUACAGUGGCUGGCCACUCGGAUUGGAGCAUCUCAACGCUUUACGACCAUUUAUGUUCUUGUUAUCUGACAAGGCUGUAUCUUUCUGGUUGGUGUGCCGGGCUUCAUGUCCUCCACUAUGCCUGCACAGUGUCUGUGCCGUGGGCAUCAACCGGCCAUCAUCCAAGAUCCACACUGGUGCUUCUUCAGCUUGGAGAUGCCAAAUAAAUCUAAUCCGCUGACUUUCAAGUGGCAAGCAGCAUCCUUUUCCAGAGUAUAAAUUGCACAUCAUCCGGGGAGCUUGAUGAUCUGGAUUGGAAUCACCUUUUUCUCAUCUUCUCAGACAUCAGGAUUCAGCACACACGUACGAGCCUUCGUGCUUUAUGGGGCGAAGGCUUUUCAAUGGAGUCUCUCACGGUGAUGUAAUUGACCAAGAAGUGGAGCAUUUCCAUCGGUGGAAUUGAACAAGUCCUUUCAAAAGGUGGAAUCAUGUCACUAUUUUGCUGGCCUACGCAAUGAAAACUUCCUCGCAGACAACUCGGGAAUUCAAAAGGGAUCCCAUCUUGGGGUUGAAAGUUGGCAAAUGGAAAAGGCCAGAGGAAAAAAAUUCUCAAAUGGGGGUUCUAGAAGUUUUGGACUCGAUCGACUCGAUCUUGUCUUUCUUAAGUCCGUGUUUGAAUUUGAAUGAGAGCCAUCGCGCCAUGGAAAGCUUGAUGUUCAAAGGUUG